rnacentral:rRNA from 1 species
GUGGGGAAUAUUGCACAAUGGGCGAAAGCCUGAUGCAGCGACGCCGCGUGCGGGAUGAAGGCCUUCGGGUUGUAAACCGCUUUUAAUUGGGAGCAAGCGAGAGUGAGUGUACCUUUUGAAUAAGCACCGGCUAACUACGUGCCAACAGCCGCGGUAAUACGUAGGGUGCAAGCGUUAUCCGGAAUUAUUGGGCGUAAAGAGCUCGUAGGCGGUUUGUCACGCCUGGUGUGAAAGUCCAUCGCUUAACGGUGGAUCUGCGCCGGGUACGGGCAGGCUAGAGUGCAGUAGGGGAGAUUGGAAUUCCCGGUGUAACGGUGGAAUGUGUAGAUAUCGGGAAGAACACCAAUGGCGAAGGCAGAUCUCUGGGCUGUUACUGACGCUGAGGAGCGAAAGCAUGGGGAGCGAACAGGAUUAGAUACCCGUGGUAGUCCAUGCCGUAAAACGGUGGAUGCUGGAUGUGGGACCCUUCCACGGGUUCCGUGUCGGAGCUAACGCGUUAAGCAUCCCCGCCUGGG